GAUGAACGCUGGCGGCGUGCCUAAUACAUGCAAGUCGAGCGAACAGACGAGGAGCUUGCUCCUCUGACGUUAGCGGCUGACGGGUGAGUAACACGUGGAUAACCUACCUAUAAGACUGGGAUAACUUCGGGAAACCGGAGCUAAUACCGGAUAAUAUAUUGAACCGCAUGGUUCAAUAGUGAAAGACGGUUUUGCUGUCACUUAUAGAUGGAUCCGCGCCGCAUUAGCUAGUUGGUAAGGUAACGGCUUACCAAGGCAACGAUGCGUAGCCGACCUGAGAGGGUGAUCGGCAACACUGGAACUGAGACACGGUCCAGACUCCUACGGGAGGAAGCAGUAGGGAAUCUUCCGCAAUGGGCGAAAGCCUGACGGAGCAACGCCGCGUGAGUGAUGAAGGUCUUCGGAUCGUAAAACUCUGUUAUUAGGGAAGAACAAAUGUGUAAGUAACUAUGCACGUCUUGACGGUACCUAAUCAGAAAGCCACGGCUAACUACGUG
rnacentral:rRNA from 1 species